UUAAAAUCAAAAUUUCACGACAUUUUCUAUGGAAAUCAAAUAAAAUGCGAGACAAUUUUAUUCAAAAUUUCUAUAAAUUAAAAGGAAAAUUUCAUAUACUUUAACUUAUAAGGCAGAAAAAGAAGUAAGAAAACCAGAAAAAGCGUGCUAAGUUCGCCCGGGCCGAUGAGGACCAUACUUGGUUUGGAUGUUGGAGCAUUUAUUGCGAAAAAUUUCAGGGCUCAAGAAGUAAAAACGGGAGAUCGGUCUAUGUAAGAGCUAUAUGAGGUUAUGGAUUGUCCAUAACCAUACUUGGUUUGGAUGAUAAGCAGAAUCGCGAAAAAUUUCAUGGUAAUCCUUUAGGGGCUCAAUAAAUAUAAUCGGAUGAUCGGUCUAUAGUAACCCUAUAGGGGCUCAAGAAGUAAAAUCGGAACAUCGGUCUAUGUUAGAGCUAUAUCAGGUUAUGGAUUGUGAAUCCCAUGGCAGCCGAUUGUACGUACAGGAUUGACCCAAUGAAGUUCUUCAUCAACAUGGAUUGUUCACAGAUUCAGCCAAAUCAAACAAAAGUGCACCCAUUAGUGGCUCAAGAAGUGUAAUCGGGAGAAUCGGCUUUUUGGGGGAGGUAAAUCAUGUUUAAGACUGAUUCAGACCAUACUUGGCACGUAAGUUGGAAGUCAUAGUACAAAAUGUCAAUUUAUCCAAAUCACAUAAUAACUGAGGCUCAAGAAGUAAAAUCAGAAAAUCGGUUUUUAUGGCAGCUAUAUCAGGUUGUAGACUAAUUCAGGCCAUACUUACUGCGUAUAUUAGAGGUUAUAGAAAAAGUCAUUGUGCAAAAUUUCAGCCAGAUCAGACAAUAACAGCCAAAUCAGAUAAUAAUUGCACCCUUAAGAGGCACAAAAAGUCAAAAUUGGUGACCGGUUUAUAUAAGAGCUAUAUCAGGUUCUAGACCGAUUCAGACCAUACUUGGCAUGUAAGUUGGAGGUCAUGAAAGAAGACAUUAUGCAAAAUUUUAGCUAAAUGGGAUUAUAAUUGCCCUUUUUAUUGGUUUAAGUAUGCAAAUCUGGAGAUCGGUGUAUAUAUAGCAGCUACAUGAAACCAUGGGUCGAUUUUGCCCAUUUACAAUUCCAAUCGACCUGCUCCAGUAAGAAAUAUUUGUGCAAAGUUUCAAGCGCCUGGCUUUAGUCCCUCGAUACUUAGCGUGCGUUCGACAGACGGACCAGCGGACAUUAGCUAUUUCCUAUAGACUUAGAAUGUCAAGUCGAACAAGAAUAUUAAACUUUGUUGGAUCUCAGAGCAUUACUUCGAUGAGUUACAAACGAAAUGACGAUGUUAGUAUACCCUCACUCAAUGGUGGAGGGUAUGAAAAUGUCUUUAAAUUUUAAAUACCUAUGUGGAAUAGAAUACUCAAACAAAUACAUAUGUACAAGAGUAUUAAUAAUUUUAGCAUAAUAAAAUUUCAACUUCAUUAGUGAA